UGUGAAUUAUAAUAAUAAUAUUCCCGUUGUUGGGAAUAAUACACUUUGCCUGUUUUGAUCCAAGGCUCAAGUUGCAGAUAACAUGAUGUGCAGUCUGUUUAAAAUUGGUUAAGAUGUCAGCUGUUUGAAAUUUUUAACUUGUAUACUUAAAAGAUGUGUACAACAGAUGAUUACAAAAGCUGAAAAUCGACAGCUCGAUCUCCUCUUAAAGGGAAAACCUACGGCACAGAGCAAAUGGGGGAAAUCGAGGUGAAGAAAUAAUGAAAGUCCCGCAGACGUGAUUAGCACGUCUGAAUAUACCUCCUUUGGUUUCUCUGCCGCAGGCCUCCCAUGGAUAUUGCAGGCCUCCCAUGGAUAUUCCGUAAGGUAGAUCAUGAUAUGAUCUAAGAGGGGAAUUGUUGAUGCGAAUAUCCAUUUUGCUCAAUAUCCUAGCUGUUCAUAUAAGGGUUAAUUUGAACCAAGAAUAAAUUUGGAAUUGGUUAUUGAACACGUCUCUGCUAUUCAUUUCCAAUUUCCAGAGCUCUGUAUGAGUUGGCAAAUAUCCAUCAUCCACAAAGGGCCCGGGCUGAUUUUAUCCCCAACAGGAGGGGUACUCAGUGUCUGGGAUGGUUUAGGGAUCCUGUACAGCCUAUCCCCCACCCACUCGUAAUGCUCCCCAUCAACUCCCUCUCCCCCAGAAUCUGCCCUGGCCCUAUACUUCUCUCUAUACUUUGCAGGUACCACUAACUGUCGAUUCGGCGGAGGGGCAACACUCUUCUGGGAAGGCUUAGGGAUCCUAUAUAACCUGUCCCCCACCCACUCAUACCACUCCCCAUCUACUCCUUCCUCUCCAGCCUCUGCUCUAUCUCAGUAUUUCUGGAGAGUCGGGUCUUCCCGGGUUUCCCUCCCAUACAUCUCUGGGGUAUCCCAGCCUAAAGGGGCCUGGUCUAAGGUACAGGUCGGGGUAGAGAGUCUUACCUGGGUCUCGGCAGCAGGUGGGCCGGUCUCGGUGGCACGGGUCUGGGCACGGGUCGUGACAGCGUCCACUUCAAUGGGACCCAUGGGUUCGAAGGCUGAAACAAGGCGCGCCAAGUCAUUGCCAAGGAGGACUGGUAAAUCCUUCAUGACCCCCAAUCCAAAUGUACCUGG